ACUUACUAAGUGUCAGGCAUCCUCACACAACCUUCUGAUGUUUUCCCUAUUUUAUAAAUGAGGAAACUGAGACACAGAGCUGUAAUUUACCCAAUGUUAUGUAAACUAAUAGGAAGUUGAGUCAGGAUUUGAAUCCAAGCCUCCAGGACACUCAUAUUUUGGGAACACAGGGCAAGCUAUGGAACUAAUUUAAAAAGAUCAAUAGAAUUGCAGGGACAGUGUUGUCAUGGAGGGGAAAGUUGGAGGAGGAAAAGGACUACGAAAGUCACCUGAUCUGCCUACAAGGACGUCAAUGGAAGACCCUAGUGAAGGUGGUUUUCUUGGAGGAGUGACAGCUGAAGCCCAAUGACAGGGUCUCACUCUGUCACCCAGGCUGGAGCGGUGCCAUCACAGCUCACUGCAGCCUGGACCUCCCAGACUCAAGUGAUUCUCCCACCAGAGCCUCCCAAGUAGCCAGGACUACAGAGCAAGAGCUCCUGUUAUUG
rnacentral:antisense_RNA from 1 species